rnacentral:tRNA from 2 species
GGGCGCUUAACUCAGUGGCUAGAGUGCUUCCUUUACACGGAAGAAGUCGGGAGUUCAAAUCUCUCAGCGCCCACCA